rnacentral:tRNA from 1 species
GGUGAUAUAGCUCAGUAGCAUAGCACCUGCCUCACAAGCACAAGGUUCUCAGUUCAAUUCCCAGUAUCAAUA